UACGAAGGGUGCAAGCGUUACUCGGAAUUACUGGGCGUAAAGCGUGCGUAGGUGGUUUGUUAAGUCUGUUGUGAAAGCCCCGGGCUCAACCUGGGAAUGGCAAUGGAUACUGGCAGGCUAGAGUGCGGUAGAGGGUAGUGGAAUUCCCGGUGUAGCGGUGAAAUGCGUAGAUAUCGAGAGGAACACCUGCGGCGAAGGCGGGUUGCUGGGCUGACACUGACGCUGAUGUGCGAAAGCUAGGGGGAGCAAACAGG
rnacentral:rRNA from 1 species